rnacentral:rRNA from 1 species
GGUCAAGCUACAAAGAGCGCAAGGGGAAUGCCUUGGCACCAGGAGCCGACGAAGGACGCAGCAAUCUGCGAAAAGCCACGGGGAGGCGAAAGCAGCCAUCGAUCCGUGGAUAUCCGAAUGGGGAAACCCACUUAAGGGAAGCUUAAGUAACCUAUGGUGAAUAAAAUAGUCAUAGGUGGGGAACCGCCUGAACUGAAACAUCUAAGUAGGGCGAGGAAAAGAAAUCAACCGAGAUUCCGUAAGUAGUGGCGAGCGAACGCGGAAGAGGCCAAACCGAGAGUAGAAAUAUUUUCGGGGUUCGGACAACGGACGGAAUUGACAAGAGUUAGCAGAAGGACAUGGGAAGGUCCACCACAGAGAGUGAAAGUCUCGUACGCGAAAACACAAGUCAUCCAGUUGAAUCCAGAGUACCGCCGGACACGUGAAACCCGGUGGGAAAACGGGGGGACCAUCCUCCAAGCCUAAAUACUCCCUGGUGACCGAUAGAGAAGAGUACUGUGAAGGAAAGGUGAAAAGAACCCCGGGAGGGGAGUGAAAAGAACCUGAAACCUUGUGCUUACAAGCACAUAGAGCACGUCAAUGUGUGAUAUGGUACCUUUUGUAGAAUGGUCCGGCGAGUGAAUGUAACUAGCGAGGUUAAGCACUUAAGGUGCGGAGCCGCAGCGAAAGCGAGUCUGAAAAGGGCGAGAAAAGUUAGUUGUAUUCGACCCGAAACCGAGUGACCUAGCCAUGAGCAGGCUGAAGUGAAGGUAAAACUUCAUGGAGGGCCGAACCCACUCCCGUUGAAAUGGUAGGGGAUGACUUGUGGCUAGCGGAGAAAUUCCAAUCGAACUCGGAGAUAGCUGGUUCUCUCCGAAAUAGCUUUAGGGCUAGCCUCGAUCGAACAUUACCGGAGGUAGAGCACUGAAUAGGCUAGGGGCCGAGAGGUUACUGAACCUUAUCAAACUCCGAAUGCCGGAUAAUGAUGAUCGGGAGUCAGACUGCGUGAGAUAAGUUUCGUAGUCGAAAGGGAAACAGCCCAGACCCACAGCUAAGGUCCCGAAGUAUAGUUAAGUGGAAAAGGAUGUGGGGUUGCAUAGACAACCAGGAUGUUGGCUUAGAAGCAGCCACUCAUUAAAAGAGUGCGUAAUAGCUCACUGGUCGAGUGACCCUGCGCCGAAAAUUUAACGGGGCUAAACUAUACACCGAAGCUUGGGAUGUUUUAUACAUGGUAGGAGAGCGUUGUAUACGGGGUGAAGUCGUAGCGAAAGCGGCGGUGGACUGCAUAGAAGAGAGAAUGCCGGAAUGAGUAGCGAGAUUUAUGUGAGAAUCAUAAAGGCCGAAAGACUAAGGAUUCAGAAGGAAGGUUCGUCCGCUUCUGGUUAGCCGGGGGCUAAGGCGAGGCCGAAAGGCGUAGUCGAUGCACAUACGGUGGAGAUUCCGUAGCCGCCUGAAAUUUAAGCAAGGGGACACUUUAGAAGCUUUUGACCCGGGUAUUGGUUGCCCCGGGCGUAAGGGACCGAAAAUAUAGUAGGGAAGCAAAAGUGGAUAGAGGCGAGAAAAGCCUUGUGUAUAUAGUUCAGGUGCCCGUACCGCAAACCGACACAGGUAGUCAGGAAGAGAAUUCUAAGGCCAACGGGAGAAGGGUAGUUAAGGAA